UUAGAGUUUGAUCCUGGCUCAGAUUGAACGCUGGCGGCAUGCUUUACACAUGCAAGUCGAACGGCAGCACGGGGGCAACCCUGGUGGCGAGUGGCGAACGGGUGAGUAAUAUAUCGGAACGUACCCAAGAGUGGGGGAUAACGUAGCGAAAGUUACGCUAAUACCGCAUACGAUCUCAGGAUGAAAGUGGGGGACCGCAAGGCCUCACGCUCCUGGAGCGGCCGAUAUCUGAUUAGCUAGUAGGUAGGGUAAAGGCCUACCUAGGCGACGAUCAGUAGCUGGUCUGAGAGGACGACCAGCCACACUGGAACUGAGACACGGUCCAGACUCCUACGGGAGGCAGCAGUGGGGAAUUUUGGACAAUGGGGGCAACCCUGAUCCAGCAAUGCCGCGUGAGUGAAGAAGGCCUUCGGGUUGUAAAGCUCUUUUGUCAGGGAAGAAACGGGUUCGGAUAAUACCUGGGCCUAAUGACGGUACNUGAAGAAUAAGCACCGGCUAACUACGUGCCAGCAGCCGCGGUAAUACGUAGGGUGCAAGCGUUAAUCGGAAUUACUGGGCGUAAAGCGUGCGCAGGCGGUUUUAUAAGUUUGUCGUGAAAGU
rnacentral:rRNA from 1 species